rnacentral:lncRNA from 1 species
CCCAUCCAGCACAGAGAUUAAAGGAAAAAACCUGGGCUUAGAUAAUGAUUACGCCAAACCACUGGAUUCAAGAAAAAGCUCAUCAUGCCCAACUAUUGCAUGACAGUAUGUGAGAGCCAACCGAUUAAAGAUAUUUUAGGAGAAUAAAAUAUUUGGAGAGCAUUGGAGUAAGGACUGUCAUUCCUGGAAUGGAAGCAUUUAAUUAAAAUGACCAUAAGCCUGAAGUGACUGGGGCAUGGGAAUAUCCUUGAUGAGAAGAUAGUGAAGCAUGUAACACCCUGGGAUAGAUGGUGCUGAUGGAACAUUUUGAGGAGACCCAAGUUGUUGGUGGAGGUGAUGGGAGACUCAGGACAACAGAAAGUAUGGGAUUUUCAAUGCUGCAGAAAUGGGGCUGAUAUGGUUUGGCUCUGUCCCCACCCAAAUAUCACCUUGAACUGUAGCUCCCAUAAUUCCUAUGUGUGGUGGGAGGGACCCAGUGGGAGGUAAUUGAAUCAUGGGGGCUGGUUUCUCCCAUGCUAUUCUCAUGAUAGUGAGUAAGUCUCACGAGAUCUGAUGGUUUUAUAAAGGGGAGUUUCCUUACACAAGUUCUGUCUUGCCUGCUGCCAUGUAAGACGUGACUUUGCUCCUUAUUCACCUUCUGCUGCGAUUGUGAUGCCUCCCCAGCCAUGAGUGAGC